UACACCUCGCCAUGGCUUUGCCCGCACUGGCUUUGGCUUACUUGGGAGGACGAGAUAUCCUACCGAGGCGAGAUGAGGAGAUUAGAGGGCAAGGUCGCGAUCGUCACGGCCUCCACCCAAGAUCGGCUUUGCCAUCGCCGAGCGCCUGGGCCUCGAGGGCGGCACCGUCGUCGUCUCCUCCCGGAAGCAGGUCUGCUUCGCCCCUCUUUUGUACGGCUACAAUUUCUUUGUAUUUGGUAAGUUAUUGUUUAGCCAUCGAUCGGCGUUUCCUCGUUUGGGAGAACAAAAUAACGUUGAUGAGGCGGUGGAGAAGCUUCGGUCGAAGGGAAUCGAGGUGAUAGGGGCAGUAUGUCAUGUGUCGAAUCCGCAGCACCGGAAGGAUCUCAUGGAGAAGACCGUCCAGAAGGAAAGACUGGAGAAUAUUGGUACCAUGAAGAUACACAAGCCUACUUUAAUGAUGCUGACCAUUACAAGAUGGUAAAAGCGAUGUGUCGCCUUUCCUGUAGCAUCUGUGACAAGAAUUCUGAGAGUCAAGGUGGUGAGGGCACAAAGAGGAGAACAAGAUUUAGGAGCAUAGAACAAUUAAAUGGCUAUUUAAGGCAUCAACACAACUUAUUGACAUGCAACCUAUGCUUGGAAGGAAGGAAGGUGAUUUAACAUAAAAAUGUUUUUUUGUGACUUAUUACUGUGUAUGAGUAUCCUUAAUCAACUGGGGAAGAUUAAAUUUCUUAAUUGCUUGAUUGCAGUUUACAUGCCAGCAUUGAAUCCGAUUCCAAAUAAUUAACCUGUUUUCUUAGUGCUUCUGUCGAAAGAGCCAAAGAGGCACUAAAUUUCAUUGUGACUUUUUUGCUCACAGUACGGAUACACACAGUUCAAAAAGCUGGAAUAGACCAGCCUGUUUGAUUAGAUAAUUGAGGAUGCAUAUAUAGACUAAUUAUAUUUUUUUGUGUAGUUUUUGUUAAAUUUUGAUUAUCAUCAAUGUUAAGAAGGAGAUUAAUUUUUUGUUGGAUCCUCUUAGUCAUCGCAUUCGUGAUCAAGAUUGGAAAUAUGUUGUCAACAUGGCCUUGAAAUAAUGCGGAGACGGGAAGAAAAGG